rnacentral:rRNA from 1 species
UACGAAGGGGGCUAGCGUUGCUCGGAAUCACUGGGCGUAAAGGGCGCGUAGGCGGCGUUUUAAGUCGGGGGUGAAAGCCUGUGGCUCAACCACAGAAUGGCCUUCGAUACUGGGACGCUUGAGUAUGGUAGAGGUUGGUGGAACUGCGAGUGUAGAGGUGAAAUUCGUAGAUAUUCGCAAGAACACCGAUGGCGAAGGCGGCUCUCUGGUCUGUAACUGACGCUGAGGCUCGAAAGCGUGGGGAGCAAACAGGAUUAGAUACCCUGGUAGUCCACGCCGUAAACGAUGAGUGCUAAGUGUUGGAGGGGUUCCACCCUUCAAUGCUGGAGUUAACGCAAUAAGCACUCCGCCUGGGGAGUACGGCCGCAAGGCUGAAACUCAGAGGAAUUGACGG